UACAUAUGUGACAUGAUACGGUUC
rnacentral:siRNA from 1 species